UUUGUGUAUGCCCCCCGCUAUGACGAGCAGAGUAACAGGCCCUUUAGUUUAGAUUUCUAAGGUGGGGCUCUAUGCAUCUGAUAGAGGUGCUUUCUUAUUUAUGAAAUACUUUUCCAGACUCCUAAAACUAUAACAUAUUGAGGUUUUCUUUUAUUAUCAAAUUGUAAGAGCCUGCUAUUUCAGCAAGUUUGCCUCUCAAACUAGAGUUCAUGUAACUUAUGUCCUAAUGCCUUUUGAUUUAGAUAUCUGAAAUAUCUAAAACCACGAAUUAGCAUUCGAUGCUGAUCUAUAAAUUUUUUGUAAUACUUAAUGGAUUCCUUUCUUAAAAGUGUGUUUUUUUUUUUUUCGGAGGAUUAACUUCAACAUGUAUAUUCAUGAGGACAACGAGUAAUAUAUAUCUUGAUAAUGAUGAGAUUUCUACUAUAUAGAAGAGUGAACAAUGGAACGACCAAGGGGAAAAACGUAAAUUAGCUCAGUGAAAAAAAAAAUCUUCGUCACAUUCACACCAACACAGACCCAAUAUAUAUGUCUAGAAACAUCCAUUCAUCUGUUUCUCUCCUUCACAUUUCUCAAGUGCCACCCUCUCAAAGAAUGGUCUUUCAGUUUUCUUAAGUCUCAAUGAACUUUUUCGGUUGGUUACAAUGUCAAGUGUGUUCAUCUUUCAAUUUUUGCCCAAUUCUUAUUCGUUUUUCCCCUUCAUCUUCUUUUCAAUCCUUGGCUUUUUUGGAUCUUUUCAGAUUCCUAGGAUUGUUAUCAUCCUGUCUUUCCAUAAGUUCGUCACCUGAACAUAGAAGAAGCAUGGAACAUUGAAACAUUGAGUGGGAAAAAAAAAAUACAAAAAUAAAUGACCAAAUAAAAAAGGGAAGGCUUCGUUACGUAUAAAAUUUAGUAGCGUGACUGAGAGUAGAUAAAGACGAAAAAAUAGAUGAUAGCAGUGUUUCAAUCUCGGUUGACUCCUUAGCGCAGAACGAGAAUCUCUUCACCCUAUAAUCUGGUGAUACUUUAAUAUUGUAAUUUUACAUCCAACAUUAAUGACAAUUUAGAUAUUUUGCCUAUUAACAGUGUUUCGAAAUAUCUAGACUACUCCCCUAUCAGUCCUCUCCCUCGCAGGGUAUGAUCUAUGUUCGCCAUAAACUCAUUUACUGAACGUGGGCGUCAAAAAACCACUAGACCAGCAAUUUCAUGGCUUUUCUCUGGUGUAUUAGGAUCUUUCUAAGGAUAAAAAGCAACCAAACUGUCAAAUUCAUGUGAUAAAAGAGGGACCAGGAUUCUUCGAUGCUCGAUGAAACUUCGAUUCAAGACUACGAGUUUAUAUAGCAAAUGACCUUGCAAAUAACUUCUCAAGUGGUCUAAUCGGGAUAUGGUCCAAUGAGAUAGUUUAUAAAACUGCUGACAGAUAUUCUAGGCACCAUGUUGGUUAAUUACCCUUUAAAUGACUUGUGCCUCCAGCCCUUUACAUACUUCUUCAAAAAGGUAAGUUAUGUCUAUCGAGUAGACUACUCUUUCGUAUUCUUUUUAGUUGGUCAUAUGCCUGUAAUUGAUUAUGUUAAAAAGCUUUUGAUAGUUCUAUGCCUGUAAUUGACUAUGUUAAAAAGCUUUUGAUAGUUCUAUUACAUUAGCGUGGAUCGCUUCUCGUAUUUCGCACAAAAUAUGUCCAUAAAAAAUAAAAUGCUCUUCCUUUUAAAUGUAUCUCGGCUUUUGAAGACAUCAAAGUGUGGAUGGGAUAUAACUUAAGAGAUAUAUUUGGAAGGAAGAACAUUCUAUUCUUCCGUACAUAUCUACAACGGGAUUUCCUUUUCUAAUUCAUGCUCUUAACUCGCUCUAAGUUCACUUUGAGCUAGCAUUUGCAUUGACUAAUGUACAUGGACUUGCUACUUAGAUACAUUGAAAGGGGUGACGAAUUUUCUCUCAUCUAACUGAUUUAGCAACAUAAUAUAUACUCUCUCUCUCUCUCUCUCUCUCUCUAUAUAUAUAUAUAUAUAUAUAUAUAUAUAUAUAUAUAAUCACUAU